GUAAACUAAACUUGUAGAAGCUUAUAGUCAUUAUGAUUUCGGACACGAGUUCGAUUCUCGUCGUCUCCACCA
rnacentral:tRNA from 2 species